CCUACGGGGGGCAGCAGUGGGGAAUAUUGGACAAUGGGGGGAACCCUGAUCCAGCGACGCCGCGUGAGUGAAGAAGUAUUUCGGUAUGUAAAGCUCUAUCAGCAGGGAAGAAAGAAAUGACGGUACCUGACUAAGAAGCCCCGGCUAACUACGUGCCAGCAGCCGCGGUAAUACGUAGGGGGCAAGCGUUAUCCGGAUUUACUGGGUGUAAAGGGGGCGUAGACGGCGAUGCAAGUCUGAAGUGAAAGGCGGGGGCCCAACCCCCGGACUGCUUGGGAAACUGUAUGGCUGGAGUGCAGGAGAGGUAAGUGGAAUUCCUAGUGUAGCGGUGAAAUGCGUAGAUAUUAGGAGGAACACCAGUGGCGAAGGCGGCUUACUGGACUGUAACUGACGUUGAGGCUCGAAAGCGUGGGGAGCAAACAGGAUUAGAUACCCCAGUAGUC
rnacentral:rRNA from 1 species